rnacentral:rRNA from 1 species
AUUGAACGCUGGCGGCAGGCCUAACACAUGCAAGUCGAGCGGUAGAGAGAAGCUUGCUUCUCUUGAGAGCGGCGGACGGGUGAGUAAUGCCUAGGAAUCUGCCUGGUAGUGGGGGAUAACGUUCGGAAACGGACGCUAAUACCGCAUACGUCCUACGGGAGAAAGCAGGGGACCUUCGGGCCUUGCGCUAUCAGAUGAGCCUAGGUCGGAUUAGCUAGUUGGUGGGGUAAUGGCUCACCAAGGCGACGAUCCGUAACUGGUCUGAGAGGAUGAUCAGUCACACUGGAACUGAGACACGGUCCAGGCUCCUACGGGAGGGAGCAGUGGGGAAUAUUAGACAAUGGGCGAAAGCCUGAUACAGCCAUGGCGCGUGUGAGAAGAAGGUCUUCGGAUUGUAAAGAACUUUAAGUGGGGAGGAAGGGCAGUAAAUUAAUACUUUGCGGGUGUGACGUUACCGACAGAAUAAGCACCGGCUAACUCUGUG